rnacentral:rRNA from 1 species
UAGGGAAUCUUCCGCAAUGGGCGAAAGCUUGACGGAGCAACGCCGCGUGAGUGAUGAAGGUCUUCGGAUCGUAAAACUCUGUUAUUAGGGAAGAACAAAUGUGUAAGUAACUAUGCACGUCUUGACGGUACCUAAUCAGAAAGCCACGGCUAACUACGUGCCAGCAGCCGCGGUAAUACGUAGGUGGCAAGCGUUAUCCGGAAUUAUUGGGCGUAAAGCGCGCGUAGGCGGUUUUUUAAGUCUGAUGUGAAAGCCAACGGCUCAACCGUGGAGGGUCGUUUGAAACUGGAAAACUUGAGUGCAGAAGAGGAAAGUGGAAUUCCGUGUGUAGCGGUGAAAUGCGCAGAGAUAUGGGGGAACACCAGUGGCGAAGGCGACUUUCUGGUCUGUAACUGUCGCUGAUGUGCGAAAGCGUGGGGAUCAAACAGG